UACGGAGGGUGCAAGCGUUAUCCGGAUUCACUGGGUUUAAAGGGUGCGUAGGCGGCCUGAUAAGUCAGUGGUGAAAGCUCGCAGCUUAACUGCGAAACUGCCAUUGAAACUGUCUGGCUUGAAUCUGGUUGAAGUGGGCGGAAUACAACAUGUAGCGGUGAAAUGCUUAGAUAUGUUGUAGAACACCGAUUGCGAAGGCAGCUCACUAAGCCAACAUUGACGCUGAGGCACGAAAGCGUGGGUAGCGAACAGG
rnacentral:rRNA from 1 species